rnacentral:tRNA from 1 species
GGGGAUAUGGUGAAAUUGGUAUACACGCAUGCUUCAGGUGCAUGUGGCAGUAAUGUCGUGAGAGUUCGAGUCUCUCUAUCCCCA